CCUAGUCAGAUUACAGUAUAGCUUAGGUAAGUUGGGUGUCGAUCACAGGGAACGGUGGUGAAUUAAUUUAAAAUAUUUGAUUAUAGGUUACAGGUCACAUGAAAAGAAUAAAGAAAUAGUUUAAUGAAUCUCAAACUAACAAUUAAUUAACAACUUUCGAUAAACUAACAGGAAAACAAAUCUCUUCAGGUACUUUGGUUUAGAUAAAUUACGCCUUAAAAACAUAGACAAUUGCAUACACAAAUUCAUUUAUUCAUGUUCACCGAUUCCUAAAAUGAUUAGAUUCGCGUUCACUAUAACUAAUCCUUUAGCAAACAAGUCAAUUGAAACAGUGAUCAGUUGAUUAAACUAACAUGCUUCCUAGUGUUCAGUUCGUAUCAAGCAAGACUUGUAAAUAUAGUUAAUCAAAUUACUAAAUCAAAUUAACCUCUUGUUGAUGGUCAUCAAACAAGGCUCACACAUUAACUUACUUAUUCCCAAGUUAAUCCUAGUUUCACAAUCGUUAUUCCUAGACUUAUAAUCUUGAUGGUCAUCAAAAUCAUAAGCAACAAGCAAUCAAGCAGACGUUCAUACAACUUAAUUUACUUAAUAAUUAACAGCAAAUAAUUAUCAUUAACAUGUAAGGAUCUUUUAACAAGCUUGGCAAGAUAAAUUAAACAUAAACAAACAAUUCAAUAUAGCAAUUAGUCUAAUAAUCAAAGUUUCAUUCAAUCAUAAACGCAAAGUAAAAGGUUUUUACACCCAAAUCAGAAACUAAAUACAGAAUAGUAACACAAUGGAAUGCUAAACAUGGUCACGUUAACAACCCAUAUGAUUACCGACAUGUAUCCGCUCUCCAACCCUUCCGAUCUCCGCUCCCGUUAGCUUAACGGCCUUCCGGCCGCCUUCUAGACCCUCAAAACGGCUUAACAGAAGUUUAAUAUCGACUAAAUUAGGUUGGAAGUCGAAUCCCCCCUUAUGGUUAGCUGAUAAUCGACUUUUAUACGCGAUUGGAGUUAUCUGAUUCCAGUCGUUACGCGGGGCGUACACAAGAAUUACGAUUGGCGUAACUCGUCCUAGCCAUUACGCUUGGCAUACAAGUAAAUUACGCGGGGCGUAAAUGGCUUCUCAACAUUUUUCCUUUCUUUUAUCUUCUAAGCCCAAUUUCCGCCUCAGUCUUUUCUUUUGUGCUUUAUCGUCAACGAAUAGCUGCAAAACAUAAUUUAAAGCAUUGUGAGUACUUCUUAGUUCUAAAAAAGAAUAAUAAAGGCCAAAAUAUUAAGAUAUAAUGUAUAAAAAUAUAUAUAAAAAUACACAUAUCAAAAUACCCCACACUUAGCCUUUGCUUGCCCCCAAGCAAAUUUUAAUUUUAUUUUACCAAUAUCGCAUUAAACAAUCCAUUUAAAACUCAGCUAUUAUGCCAAGACCUCAACGCAUGCAUUUGUGUCUAAAAUUUUCCUAAAGUACCCCCAUACUUUAAAUACUCACAAUCUUCAUAAACACUCACCCACUUUUUCCGAACAAUGUUCAUUUUAUGCAACCAUCCGAAUCCAUCCGCAGAAAACCUCCUUAUCCUCAAGGUAUUUUUAGUUGAGCAACCUAAGCAUACAUAAUCUAGAAUUACAAUCUAUGAUACCACUAUGGAGCUCUUUUGGAAUUCUUCACUUCCUUGAUAAUUUGAUCUUUGAUUUCUUUGAAUUCACCACCUUAUUUGAUUUGAUUUCUGGUAUCUUCAACUUUUUUUUUUUGAAUUCUUGGAAUUUUGAUCUUUUGAUCUUCGCUUUUUUGCUCCAAAAUUCUUCAAACUUUUCUUGUAAUUCUCUCUCUUUUUUUUACAUGUACCUCACUUUUUUCACUCAAAACCUAAUGCUUAAGCAGAGGCGCUCAACCUCAACCUUUAUUGGUUAAUGAUAAUAAUUUUCCUGGAUACAUUUCAGGUUUAGGCUGCUAAACAUAUUGCAUCCCUCAAACCAAGCGGGGUUAUGUUUUUGUUCCAUGAUUUCACUAAAAUAAGGGAGGCCACAAAUGCACUAUAACGUGUAUUGGCUCAACUAAACAUUUGAACUUUCAUCGGAUCAUCCCACAUAAUACUAGCAAUUAUAGCUCAAAUUAUUAGUACUAGAUUCAAUUAAUUUUAAUUUUCCAAAUUUUCUAGCAAUUUACUUUUUCUACCCCUACCCCACACUUAUUUCAUACAAUGCCCUCAUUGUAUGUAUAAAACAAAUCAAAAUUAAAGACAAGGGAGAAAAAGGAACAGACUCCCCUGGGUAGUUGUGGCGAGAUCGAAUGGGGCUGCUACAAGUUGCUUCAAAUAUUGCUGAAAGAAUGAAAAUUGGAACUGUUGCUUCUAAAUUUGCCGAAAAAUAAAAUCAAGACUGCCGACUUCAAAAAAAUGUGGUGCAAAAGAUUGCAAACAAAUGCAAUGUAUAGUAACCAUGACGUGGGAAAGUGUCGACCACAUCAUGUCUUCAAAAAUGACAUCCUCUUCUCGCGAUGAAAAAUCCCCCACAACAUAGGAAAGUAUCAACCAUGUCAUGGCAGCCGGGAUGAUACGUCUUCCUCGCGUCAAAAUAGAACUCUAUGGUGUAGGAAUAGCUCAUCCAUACCAUAGGAGGUAAAAUAUCGUAAAAAUUCCAAUCGUCUAAACGAACGCUCACGAAAUCAAUAUGCACCCCACACUUACGACAAAUUGUGGGUCUUGACUAUACUCUUCGAACUCUCACACGGCUCUCUCUAGUAACAGUCGAACCUAGCUGCUGAACUUACUGCCAGCUUUCUAAGGGCGAAAAUUCUGCAGAGAUCUAAACAACCAAAGAGCAUCAACAUGGAAAACAAAAAUAAAACAUCCUAAAUUAAAGUUUAAUUACAUACCAAAUAAAAAACUAAAACUAGCAACACAAAAAUAAACUAAAAAUAACAUAAAAAUAAAAAGGAUAACUAAAUCACUCAUCAUCUCCAUCAUCAUGUUGCUGUGUCCCAGAAGUACCGGCCCCAUCNUCAUGUCGUGUGGAAUGGUGGAGGGUAGGGAACCGAGUACUGAAACCCCUGGUGGGCAAAGAAUGCGGUCAACGCAUCCCCAUACCACUGCUGUUGGCUGUCCACAUGUGCAACGUAUACUCACUAAGGUUCUGAACCCUCAUGUCAAGACGGUUAAUGCCCUGAGCUAGGUAGCGCAUGUCAAUCUCCGGCUCAGGUCCCUGUUGCGCUCCCGGAGGAGCAGGUCUACGCCGCUGGACCCAUCUCGGCUGUGGCUCGACGACACCCUCCUCGUCUGCCACAUCAUCUACUCGUACUCGCAAGAAACCAUCUCCGCCCCGCUCGAGUACACGCAUCGACUCCAACAGCUGAAGACUCAUCGGCCUCAUAUCAUGGAACACCAUCGAUCUCGUGAUCUCACGCGCCAACAACUGAUAUGACCGGGCUAAUCGCGUGAUAAAAUGCCCUCCGCAAAUCGGGCUAUCCUCCCGAAGUCCCCUGGCCCUCCGUCCCAAAUAUGAAACUAAAGCAACUGGAAGGUUCAAGUGCCUCCCUGGAGUAACAAGUGCCCAUAGGAAAUACAAGUUUGUCGAAGGCGCUCUCUCACUGUUCUUAUGAUGCGUGAGAGACAUAGAAAUCAACUGGUGCAGCAGUCUGUAUGUAGUAGACCGAAUCAUCCUACCCCGUGCAGUAGAUGGCGUAUACAGUCCUCCUGUAAUCUCGGCCCAAAAAGUGUUUUUGUUAUAAUCAUCUGGCCGCUCCGUGAGACAAUCAGCAAGCAAUGCCGGGAAGUGGACACUCCUCGUCUCAUCUGCUGUGUAUAUACCCACUCGAGUCGUAAGCUCUAUGACACUGCACUCCCGGCUCACACCCUCUAGUCUAAAGGCAAAAGUUGUCCUAUCAUCGGGUGACUUCCUAGGGUCAUAGGAAACUAUAGCGUAAAACUCCAGCAAAAAUUCCCGAUAAACAGGCUCCUGGAUCCUGAACAAUCGUGCCCAUCCCUGACAUACGAACAAAUCCACUCCACUCGCGUCCGAGUGCGUGUAUUGCAAAAAAUCCUGGAUCAGUGCAGCAAGUCCAGUCCGGGUCGCCAAUUCCCAAUCGAAUGAUGGUGCUAUGUCGAUCUCAUUGGUGAGCAGCAAACUCAAACUGUUGACAUAUCGUGCCCGGGUUGCAUCGUUCAGAGUUUGCGGAAAUUGUAAGAAACGGUGAUCGGUCACAUCCUCGGGUGGGUUGGUCCUUUGAGUUCUUCGGGCCAUAAUCUGCACAAAUAAACACAAAACCAAACAAAAUAUAACAACAUUAACAAAUUUUUUUUUAAACCAAAAAUCAUGGUCAUGGACUUGGUCUUUACGCUGGGCGUACAUCCAGCAUACGUUGGGCGUACGUCUAGGUUUAUGAAUCUGUCCCCCCCCCCAGCUUGUUAUAAUGUUAUAACUCAUAUCAAUUUUUUUUAAAUUAAGCAUAUAUGCAAGCAAUAAACACAGCAGGGGCAAACACAUGGGGCAUAUCGAGCAUACGGGAUUAUAUCAAAUAUACAGCCUCGUGGUCCAAGGCAGUAAAAAAAAAGGGACCACUCUUUGACUUAUAAAUCAAUCCCCUGUAAUCCCUUUGUCUAUUCAAAAUUAACAAACAUGUAACAAGGAAACUGCAUAAAAGCAGUCAAGACUCGAAGUCAAUAGAACAUACGCUAGGCGUCCGUCCCCGAGCUCAAAUCGAUGGGUCUAUCACGGGAUUAAGACCAAAUUGGGUACUAAAGUUUAGUUUAUUGAUAGAAAUCGGUCUUUUGAAGCCCUAAUCAAAACAUACAAUUGUGAAAUCGGCCCUAAUUCAAGAAACAUAUAAACCCUAGAUUUCGAACAAAGGUACUAUACAGCUAAUUCCAUCGAUUUAAACACAAAUCCAAAACAUUAAGUACCCGAAAAACUUACCUGUGUGCCGAAUUUGACAAGAAAAGAAGAAAAAUCGAAAAUCUUUGGGAGAGCUUGCCGUCACAGUUCGUGUGUGCGAAGGAAAGGAUUUUGAAAAAGUAACAAAAAAGUCAAGGGUCAAAAGAUAUAACCUGGUCGCCGAUUUACGCUGGGCGUAACCCCAACUCCGUGAAAAGUCAAUCCGCGAUCUGGGGUUUAUUACGCUUGGCGUAAUUAAACUUACGCUGGGCGUAAUGAAGUAUUCCUUUUUUUUUAAUUGAAAUUUCUUUUCUUUUAACUAUUUAAUUAAGGGACUUAAAACUUAAUUAUUUUUCUUUUUAAUUCCUUCAGCAACUGAUGACUUUCCGAUGAGUGACAUAAAAAAAUGAGACGUCAUAAUCACUUAUCUUUGUCAAGAUCAAACUACAAUGGUUGAUCAAAAACCUUUGCACGCAAGAAUUGGUUUGCGAAAACACCCACUUUCGGGACCCGUUAGAAUAUUUCCUUUGUUUUCUUCGCACCUUUAACUAAAAGCGGAACAAGAAGUGACCUAACUAGUCAAGAACAGCAAGAGCUCGGUCUUCCACUUAACCACCACAAUACGCCUUGCUAUACUACGCCUCAUGGAUUGAGUUGGACAAAUCAACAAAGUAGUAGGCUAACCAGGUCAAGAUUUCCCUAAUCGCUUGCAUUCUCAAAACCCAUGCAAAAAGUAAAGUCAAGCAAUGUGUACAAUCCCAAAUUCCUGCAAUUAACAACAAGAACCUUCCCGACAAGUGAAAUGAUAUCAUCGAAAAUAAACUCUAAAAUAAAAACUAACUAAACUAACUAUAAACAAAUAACAAAUAAGCAAAUAAACUAAAUUAAUGACAAUCCGUCCCCCGGCAACGGCACCAAAAACUUGAUGUGCACAAAAGUACCCACUAAUUUUAAUAUUUAUAACCUAACAAACUUAGACUAUCUAUGCACUUAUAGGCAGUGUACCUAGUCAGAUUACAGUAUAGCUUAGGUAAGUCGGGUGUCGAUCACAGGGAACGGUGGUGAAUUAAUUUAAUAUAUUUGAUUAUAGGUUACAGGUCACACGAAAAGAAUAAAGAAAUAGUUUAAUAAAUCUCAAACUAACAAUUAAUUAACAACUCUCGAUAAACUAACAGGAAAACAAAUCUCUUCAGGUACUUUGGUUUAGAUAAAUUACACCUUAAAAACAUAGACAAUUGCAUACACAAAUUCAUUUAUUCAUGUUCACCGAUUCCUAAAAUGAUUAGAUUCGCGUUCACUAUAACUAAUCCUUUAGCAAACAAGUCAAUUCAAACAGUGAUCAGUUGAUUAAACUAACAUGCUUCCUAGUGUUCAGUUCGUAUCAAGCAAGACUUGUAAAUAUAGUUAAUCAAAUUACUAAUUCAAAUUAACCUCUUGUUGAUGGUCAUCAAACAAGGCUCACACAUUAACUUACUUAUUCCCAAGUUAAUCCUAGUUUCACAUUCGUUAUUCCUAGACUUAUAAUCUCGAUGGUCAUCAAAAUCAUAAGCAACAAGCAAUCAAGCAGAUGUUCAUACAACUUAAUUUACUUAAUAAUUAACAGCAAAUAAUUAUCAUUAACACGUAAGGAUCUUUUAACAAGCUUGGAAAGAUAAAUUAAACAUAAACAAACAAUUCAAUAUAGCAAUUAGUCUAAUAAUCAAAGUUUCAUUCAAUCAUAAACGCAAAGUAAAAGGUUUUUACACCUAAAUCAGAAACUAAACACAUAAUAGUAUCACAAUGGAAUGCUAAACAUGGUCACGUUAACAAC
rnacentral:lncRNA from 1 species